rnacentral:rRNA from 1 species
GAUGAACGCUGGCGGCGUGCCUAAUACAUGCAAGUCGAGCGAACGGACGAGAAGCUUGCUUCUCUGAUGUUAGCGGCGGACGGGUGAGUAACACGUGGAUAACCUACCUAUAAGACUGGGAUAACUUCGGGAAACCGGAGCUAAUACCGGAUAAUAUUUUGAACCGCAUGGUUCAAAAGUGAAAGACGGUCUUGCUGUCACUUAUAGAUGGAUCCGCGCUGCAUUAGCUAGUUGGUAAGGUAACGGCUUACCAAGGCAACGAUGCAUAGCCGACCUGAGAGGGUGAUCGGCCACACUGGAACUGAGACACGGUCCAGACUCCUACGGGAGGCAGCAGUAGGGAAUCUUCCGCAAUGGGCGAAAGCCUGACGGAGCAACGCCGCGUGAGUGAUGAAGGUCUUCGUAUCGUAAAACUCUGUUAUUAGGGAAGUACAUAUGUGUAAGUAACUGUGCACAUCUUGACGGUACCUAAUCAGAAAGCCACGGCUAACUACGUG